AUUGAACGCUGGCGGCAGGCCUAACACAUGCAAGUCGAGCGGAUGAAGGGAGCUUGCUCCUGGAUUCAGCGGCGGACGGGUGAGUAAUGCCUAGUAAUCUGCCUGGUAGUGGGGGAUAACGUCCGGAAACGGGCGCUAAUACCUCAUACGUCCUGAGGGAGAAAGUGGGGGAUCUUCGGACCUCACGCUAUCAGAUGAGCCUAGGUCGGAUUAGCUAGUUGGUGGGGUAAAGGCCUACCAAGGCGACGAUCCGUAACUGGUCUGAGAGGAUGAUCAGUCACACUGGAACUGAGACACGGUCCAGACUCCUACGGGAGGCAGCAGUGGGGAAUAUUGGACAAUGGGCGAAAGCCUGAUCCAGCCAUGCCGCGUGUGUGAAGAAGGUCUUCGGAUUGUAAAGCACUUUAAGUUGGGAGGAAGGGCAGUAAGUUAAUACCUUGCUGUUUUGACGGUACCAACAGAAUAAGCACCGGCUAACUUCGUG
rnacentral:rRNA from 1 species